UGCCUUCUACUCGCUCCACUUGUCGACCCCACUCGCGCAAUCCCAACCUAGGCGAUUCUUUCCUUAUUCUCCAAACAAGCAAACGACCCCCAAAUCUUAGAGCCCCUCGAAACCCUCGUCUCUCUCUCAGAAAUCCCUCUAAACCCCCCAAACCCACUGCAAGAAAUGUCUAAGGUUCCCAUGGAUGUGGUCACCGAUAUCUUCCAUCGCCUCCCCGUCAAGACUCUCCUGCGUUUCAGGUCCCUUUCUAAACCCUACUGCUCUCUCAUAGACGACCCUGAUUUCACCAAUGCCCACCUCGAUCGUUCCAUCAAAACCAGAUCCAAUCUCAACAUCAUCCUCAAAGGUUUGCAUCUCUAUUCCGUGGAAUUCGAUGCUCUGGAUAACGCCGUUCCCAUCGACUACCCUUUGAGUAGUGGAGCUGGGACUGAAGCCUUUGGUUCCUGUAAUGGAAUCCUUGCAUUCCGUCUCACCGAUAAAAACCUCGCCUUGUAUAAUCCCUCCACGAGGCAGUUCCGUCGACUGCCUGUUUCCGAGAUUGACCCCCCUCCAGGUGAUUCUUGUAAAUCUGGGUAUAUCUUUUAUGGGUUCGGGCAGGAUGUUAAAACCAAUGAUUACAAGGUCGUGAGGAUGGUGCAGUUCAAUAAAAGUGACGAUGAGGAUGAUGAAGGUAUAUUUUACGACUACGAGGUUAAGGUUUAUAGUUUAAAGAAUGAUUCUUGGAGGAAAAUCACUAAGCUCCCUCCGUAUCUUAGGUUUAUGUUUCAAUUUUUCUACCAUCUAUUGCAUAGGCGAGGCUAUGGUGUGCUUGCUGGUGGGGUUUUACAUUGGGUGAUGCCUCCACGAAUUGAAUUGGGACCGAGGAAUAGGAUUGUGGGUUUUGAUCUUGGAAACGAGGAGUUCAUUGAAGUGCCUCAACCUGAAUGUGCCGAUAAGAACUAUCUGUUGGAUGUGGCAGCCCUGGAAGGGCGCCUAUGUGCUGUUUGUAAUUAUGACCAAGAGAAAAUUGAUGUUUGGACUAUGAAGGAAUAUGGAGUAAAACAAUCUUGGACUAAGUUGAUUUCCAUUCAAAGAACUAGAACCAUUACCACACUAACGUUUUUAAAGCCAUUAGCUUAUUCCAAGCAGCUUGAUAAGGUUUUGGUGGAGAUUAAUAGCCAAAAGUUUGCCUGGUAUGAUUUGCAAAAGAAGAAGAUGCGAAGUGUGAAGAUUGGUGGUAGUCCAGGUACAUUUGGUGCAGAGGUUUAUAUAGGAAGCCUCAUUCAAAUAGAAGACCUUAAAAGAUUGGAAAUUGAGAAGCAAAAUGAACAAGAUGAACUGAAAAACAGAAAUCGAAAGAAGAGGGAUGAUUUCCUUUCGAAAGGAUUCAAAUUGGUCUUAUAAUCAAAAUCAAGAACAUAUACAAAAUAUGAGCAAAAUGGGAAGGAAGCUUCAUGGCUUAUAAAGGUACGAACCAGUAGAUGAAAACAAGUCCAAUCACACAAUAGCCAGCGAAGAGGAGGAAUGUGCCAGAGGAACCCAGAGCUUUGGUUAGGGUUAAAAAUGUGAGGCUAACAAUAAGAUUGCAGACCCAAUUGAAAACUGCAGCUAUCCCUCCACCGAUUCCUCUGUAUUUCAAUGGGUAAAUCUCAGAGUUAACAAUCCAUGGGACAGUUCCCAUUCCAGGCGAGUAGGAAAUGAUGUACAGUCCUAGGAAGACAACAGCCAAAAACCCAAAUUUGCUCGGGCAACCAUCCUUGAACCAAGUACGAUGUUGUCCAUGACAUAAGGUUUCUAGAUCUGAUGUCUUUGCCAAGCAUGCUCCUGGAGAAUACUAAAUAAAGAGAAAAACAAAUCAAUCUGAAUGUCACCGCCAAUCGAGUUAAAAUGCUUCACAAUCGAGUUAAAAUACUUACUUCAUUUGCACCAUUGGCACAAAAAGCACACUCCGCCUUCAAACAAGACAUACAGUUCCAUGAUGUUGGAUUAGAGGCGGAAAGGAAACUAGGACAUGUAGCAUUUGUAGCGAAAUGGGUAGACUCGAGUUGGCUAAUUUUGGGAGCAUGACUGGCUGCUUGGAAGAACACAAUCGAUAAAAUCACUAGGCAAGAAAUGAUACCAAACAUUGAGACGAUCAUCAUUCUCCUCCUCCCAUAUCUGUCGACGAAAGCCAUACUAACAAUGGAGCCAACAGCAUUGAGCCCAGAUGUGACGAGAGAAAGCGCCAAUGCUGUCUUGUUUGAAGCAAAUCCGGCAAACUGAACUAUUGUCGGGCUGUAAUACAUAACGGUAUUGAUGCCCGAAAACUGCUGAGCAACUUGAACCGUCACCCCAGCAUAGAGUCCCCUUCGCACAACAACAUUGCUUAAAGCCCCUUUCAUUUUUGCUAUGAAAUUAUCCCCAAUGGCUUGUUCAUCAGCUUUCUCUGCUUCAACGGAGUUUCUAAGAGCAAUCAAUUCGGAUUCGACUUCAUUAGCAGGAUAAAUCUUCUCUAGGAUGGACCUCGCCUCUUCUACUUUAUUCUGUACAUCAAGCCAGUAAAAUUCAUAUCAUUGUUGUAAACCAUUAUAUGAAUCGGAGAAAAUAUUCUAACC